rnacentral:rRNA from 1 species
UACGUAGGGUGCGAGCGUUAAUCGGAAUUACUGGGCGUAAAGCGUGCGCAGGCGGUUUUGUAAGCCAGAUGUGAAAUCCCCGGGCUUAACCUGGGAAUGGCAUUUGGGACUGCAAGGCUUGAGUGCGGCAGAGGAGACUGGAAUUCCUGGUGUAGCAGUGAAAUGCGUAGAUAUCAGGAGGAACACCAAUGGCGAAGGCAGCACUCUGGGACGUAACUGACGCUGAGACGCGAAAGCGUGGGGAGCAAACAGG